GAUCUGGGCGUAAGCGUGCGCAGGCGGAUGUUUAGUCAGAUGUGAAAUCCCCGGGCUCAACCUGGGAAUUGCAUUUGAAACUGGGYAUCUAGAGUGCGGCAGAGGGGGGUGGAAUUCCUCGUGUAGCGGUGAAAUGCGUAGAUAUSUGGAGGAACACCGAUGGCGAAGGCAGCCCCCUGGGMUUAUACUGACGCUCAUGCMCGAAAGCGUGGGGAGCAAACAGGAUUAGAUACCCUGGUAGUCCACGCCCUAAACKAUGUCAACUAGGUGUUGGGGACUUAAAUUCUUAUCUGACGAAGCUAAUAACGUGAUAUUUACCCCCUGGGGAGUACAGCCUCAGGGUUGAAACUCUCANGAGUUGUGGGGGGAGCACACAA
rnacentral:rRNA from 1 species